UACGAGGGGGGCAAGCGUUGUUCGGAAUUAUUGGGCGUAAAGGGCGCGUAGGCGGUGCGGUAAGUCACCUGUGAAACCUCUAGGCUUAACCUAGAGCCUGCAGGCGAAACUGCCGUGCUUGAGGGUGGGAGAGGUGCGUGGAAUUCCCGGUGUAGCGGUGAAAUGUGUAGAGAUCGGGAGGAACACCGGUGGCGAAGGCGGGUCUCUGGGCAAUUCCUGACGCUGAGGCGCGAAAGCGUGGGGAGCAAACGGG
rnacentral:rRNA from 1 species